rnacentral:misc_RNA from 1 species
AAUCCCAGCCUUGUCUUUAGGAUGGUGAAAUUUGCAAGUGGCUCCAAAUUUGCAAGUUCCCGUUUUCAAGAAGUACUGGCAUUCGGGUUGUCCUAUUCUUUCUGGAUACUCUCCCUUCAUCCUUGCAGUGGCGAUGGCCAGCUUCCUAUUAGGAGGAUGGUUGAACCGGCAAGUUGAUCCAAACCUACAGAGACCAGUUCUGAUAUAGUAGGAACAAUCUGGUUCACCUUCACGGACAGGAUAAUGUCCCGACUCAAUUGAAUCCCUUGAUCUCAAAUUCAUUUGCCACAAAGUGUCUUGGUCGAGAGACGGUGACAAAGAGGAAGGUCCUUCAGUCACAGACAAGGAAAUUCCGGCAUCAAAAUCCAUGAUGAUUAUGGUUAAGAAGCAAAAUAGAAGUAUUCUUCUUCUACUACUACUACUACUUCCAUUAACAACAACCCAUCACCGGAAUUUCCAUUAAU